CCACUAAUAUAAACUUAGAUUUAUGAAUAAAACUUAACAUCAAAGAACUGAAACAGUUUAAGUAGUACAAUUUAGUCACCUUUCAUCAAUCCAAUCCAUGUGUGUUCAUAUGAUCUUCCAGUUUCCUUGGAAUAUCAAAUUCAAUGUCGCACAUAGUACAAAUAUAUCCAACACCGGUUGGUUCCAUUGACUCCAAUUCCUGGCAUAAACCACAUUGAAAGUUUACAUUAUUGCCAUGUUGCCUUGCUAUAUGUCGCACUAAUUUUGCAAAAUUGGAAAGAUGCAUGUUGCAUUUCAUACAAACAUGUUCUCCAGUGACUUCAUCUUUGAAAGCAUGUUGUUGUAUAUCUUGCGGCCGAGUAAAUUCUCUAUGACAAGUGUUACACAAAAAAUGUGACUUUUUGUGCGCUUGUAGACUGUGUCCUCGAGAAAAUUUCUUAUUGCAAACAUCACAUUCAUAAGCGUUAUCUCCAGUGUGUGUUUUUUAUGUGUUGCCAAAUUGCCUGACUGUGAAAAUCCUUUCUUACAAACAUCACAUUCAUAAGGUUUUUCUCCAGUGUGUGUUCGUUUAUGUGUUACUGAACUGCUCGACUGAGAAAAUCCCUUCUUACAAACAUCACAUUCAUAAGGUUUGCCUCCAGUGUGUGUUCUCUUAUGUUUUAACAAAUCAUUUGAUUGAGAAAAUUUCUUAUUGCAAACAUCACAUUUAUAUGGUUUGUCUCCAGUGUGUGUUCUUUUAUGUCUUGCUAAAUUGCCUGACUGCGAAAAUACCUUCUUACAAACAUCACAUUCAUAAGGUUUGUCUCCAGUGUGCGUUCGUGUAUAUCUUGCUAAAUGGCUUGACUGAGAAAAUUUCUUCUUUAUGCAAACAUCACAUUCAUAAGGUUUAUCUCCAGCUUCUAUUCUAUUAUGUGUUACCAACUUGUUUAAUAUCGAAAAUCGCUUGUUGCAAACAUUACAUUCAUAAGGUUUGUGUGUUCUCUCUUCUUACUGCAUCGAAGCUGCUCGAAGUUGAAAACAUAUCCUUUUAUAUACGAUCUCACAAAUCACAAUGAAUUGAAUCAAUGAUCGAUAUCAGAUGGAUAUGUUCAAUAAAUCCUAAACACGUUGAAACGGUUUAGAAUAUCGAACGUCGAAACUCCUUCCUAACCUCAGCAAUACGUAUUUGCUUUUGUGUUAUUUUAAUCGAUGAGAAAAUAGAUAAUACAAGUGUGUUUCUUCACUGUUUUCAUUGCCAUCAAAUAUGGC